UGAACCUGCAACCUCAUGGUUCCUAGUCAGAUUCGUUUCCACUGUGCCACAAAGGGAACUCCCUUUCCUUUUCUUUUUCUUCCUUUCUUUCUUUCCUUCCCACCUCUACAGAGGUGGCUUUCUACUGUUAAAGCAAAUUAGUGAGACCUAUGGCCCUAAUAAAAGGCAGCAUAUUCAGCCCAAGGUCACAGGGGAAGAGAGAGUGUUGGUGACUGGGGUGUUCCUCCCAGACAGGAAGAAGCAGGAACUCCUCCUGAGUUACAGGGCAGGGAAGGGGGAUCAGAGGACUGGUUCAAGGGUUAGGAUCCCUUAGCCACCCAGAACCUCAGGAAUUUCACCCCAGACUGAGGAUGGCAGGAGCCAGCGAGAAGGAAUGGGGCCCGUCUGCCAAAACUGUGGGUUUUCCAUAAAAAGCUAUGUGCCUCUACACCUGCGCAGAAAGAUGGAGGAAGCUAGAGGUUUUGCAGGCAAGAAACCUCAUGGAUAGGAAAUUAAAAUCUUUGUUAGACAAGAAAUAGUUUCUAUCAGAAAAAGCAGUUACCACGUCCUAGCAAGUCCCAGGUUUUUCUCAUGAUCGGUCCUCAGUGGGGCAAAGGGCCUCCAGAUUUAGUGAAAGAAAUGAGAGAAAGCAGAGAGUCUGCAUGUGUAGUCACCCCCUUGUUUACAGGUGCCUUAACUUCCACCGUCCCCCUCUGAUGCCCAUGCCCUGGUUGUUAAGGUGGUCGAGGCAUUGGAGAUGCUCUGUGGAAGCGUGAAGGAGGAAACGGAGGAAGGACCUUACACAAAAUGUUCCACGUGUGGUCUUUAGCUAAUGUCGUCUCCGUCCGGCAGUGGCCGCAUUCCUCUCUUGGUCACUCCCUCUCCUUAUCCUGAACUUCCACUUGGUGUAGACCGUAAACCCCACACACGUUUUCCUCUCCUUUCCUUCAAACUCUCCAACCAAGUGGUGUCUCCUUCGACAAAGGAAGACCUCUCCCCGGCUUGGCUUACCCUAUCAAGUGUGUUUUCAUUUUGUGUUUAUAAUAUUAAUCUGAAUUCUAUUUGGUUAUUAAUCCUAAUUCAAUUUCAAAGGAGAAAAUAGGCAGCUACCGAAAAGAGUCCAAACCAGUAUAAAAGAGUGGAAAAGUCUGUUGCCUGGAUUAGAAAAAUACUUGGAAAAAAUCAAAGCUUUCCUGGGUGGCAAAUGCUGUGCGAUGCAGGAGCCACUUCUCAGCGAAGGGUCAGAGCUGGAGUUUGUAGGGCUGCAUCUUGGGAGAAAAAUAAACAAGUGGAGAGAAGCUUCAACCUAAGGCCAAGGGGUGCAUGCGUUUGAACUCCCAGGACAGUCCUUGUCAGCCGAGGCUACGCUAACUAACGCAGACCAGGUGGUUUACAAACAGCAGAAAUUUCCCGCUCUUGGCUCUGGAGGCCAGAAUCGGAGGUCAGGGCGCCAGCAUGGUCAGGUUCUGAUGAUGGCCCUCUUCCAGGCUGCAGCCUGCCAGCCUCUCCUGGUGUCCUCAUGGGGAGGAGAGCAGAGAGGACAAGCAAGCUCUUUGGAGCCUCCUGUAAGUGCACGAAUCCCAUUCAGGACAGUGGUGCUGCCAGGACGCAUGGAAUUCUAACCACCUUCCAAAGGCCCCACCGCUGAUACUGUCACAUUGGGGGAGGUUUCGGCUGAUGGACUUUGGAGGGACAGAAAACUUUAGUCCCUAACAAGGAGGACUGGAUGCUAACAGGUCAUUUUGUAACCUCCUCAAAGCAUGUUCUUCAAGCUGGGAGACGGCCAAGCCUGGGGAUGGCCGCCUCUCCUGGGGGUGCCUAAAAGCUGGUGCCCCCCAGGAAAGCCUGUCACUGACUGAGACCACGAUGGUGCAGAAUUGAAGAUGGGCACUGUUUCUGGUGCCAUUCAUGCUCCUGAUCCCCGGGGAGGUCUUCGCUCAGCUUCUUCCUCUGCCUAAUCCUUUCUCUCUCAACUUUCUUACAAGCUCCUUUUGUGAGCACUCCCCCCACAAAAAGUCAACACCCAAGAGUCACCUUCUUAGACUUCUGGGAGACCCAACUUAAGACAUCUAUCAUGGGGGCUGGGGUGGGGAGUGCUCUGCCAGGCAGGCUUGGCUGCAUGGUGAUGGCAAAUAUCCAACCCUCUUUGUGGUUGUGGUUCACUGUCAUCCUGAUGGGUCUUUGUGGUGGAUUCUUGCACAAAUGACUGCAGCCUCCUCCUUCGCAUGAAGAGGUGGGAUCUCUCUGCCUACCCUAGCAUCUGGAUCACGUGGCUUGUUUUGGCUGAGCGGAAAUUACCAAACAGGACACAAAGACUUGAACAGCACACGCAUGGUGGGCUUGCCAGGUCCCUGUUCUCGGAUCCCUGCGCUUUGUGAUUGAGCCCAGGCUAGCCUGCUGGGUGAUGGGAGGCGUGUGCUCUGCUUACCCACAUUUUUCCAAGAAGCAAAGCUGUCUAGCUAACCAGAACUGUACCGUGGAUACAUGAGUGAGCCCAGCUGAGAUCAGCAGAAGAACCACACAACCAGUUUGCUGACCCACAAAAUCAUGAGCUAAAUAAGGGUUGAAACCACUAAAUUUUAUUUGUUUUAUAGCAAAUACUAAUUGAUAGAAUACUUAAAUUAUGAUGGCCCCUAUUUAUUUAUACGUUUUGCCAUUUCAGCAAAAAUAACUGUUUUAGGCUCAAAUUGCAGCCAUACGAAUGCAUACAGCAAAUAUAUGCAUAUAAAAAUAUAGGUACACAAACGUAUAUGUUAUAUAUAUUUGCUAUAUAUAUAAAGCAUAUAUAUAUAUUGCAAAAGAAUGUCUUUUUAAAUUAAUGUAACUUCUUGAAAUUCAGACAGGUAAAUGUUGCAAUUAACACUGACUCUAGGUAGGCAAUUUAUCCACCAGAAUGAAGGAAAAGAGUCACACAUUUUUAUUGAAUGGCUUGUGAGUGUUGGGAGCUCUCAUAUACGCUGUCUCAUGAAUCCUCACAGUCACAUCGUUAAUGUGCUAUUUUUACAAGAGAAAAAACUCACUCUCAGAGAGGGCAUGUGACCUGCCCAAGGUGACUGGGUGAGCAGAUUGAUUAGAUGGGUUUUCCUGACGUCAGAGAUGCUGUAAAGAUGCUGCAGUCAGGUACCUCCCGCAAGCCUGGGGAUUGCCUUUAAGUGGUAUUUGUAAAUGCAAGGCUUCUCGCUGGAAUAUGUAUCUUUUAAAAAAGUUUUUAAAUUUAUUUUUUGUCUUUUUUUUUUUUUUUUUUUUUUUUGCCUUUUCUAGGGCCGCUCCCACAGCAUAUGGAAGUUCCCAAGCCAGGGGUUGAGUUGGAGCUGUAGCUGCUGGCCUACACCAGAGCCACAGCAACUCGGAAUCUGAGCCGUGUCUUUGAUCUACACCACAGCUCAGGGCAACGCCUGAUCUGUAACUCACUGAGCAAGGACAGGGAUCGAACCCGCAAUGUCAUGGUUCCUAGUCGGAUUUGUUAACUGCUGAGCCACGACAGGAGCUCCUGGAGUACGUAUCUUUCAUGACAGCAUAAUUGCAUGAAUCUGUGGACCCUAUUUUCCACCCUUUCAAUGUUGGCCUCCAUGACCUACAGAAAGCUUUAGAGUUGCAAGAAAUUUUCAAGCAAUUAUUUAGUUGAGAACAGAAUUUGCAAAUUUUCAGAGUAGAGAAUAUUCCUCUAAACUUUCAAAUAAACCUUCUGGUUAUCUGUCAUUUAAAAUAUCUCCCCAGGCAUCAAAUACAUUUUAUAUUCAAUAUAAAUGUUUAUCACACACCAGUCUUUGCCCUAGGCUCUGGAGAGGCAAGAAACAGUAAAACAGUAAUCCAUUCUGUCAAGAAGUUCAAAUUUUGGAGCUCCCGCUGUGGCACAAUGGAAGCAGUGGUGUCUCUAGACACUAGAAUGCAGUGCUUUGUCUCUGCAGGUUCAAUCUCCAGUCUGGCACAGUGGGGUAAAGAUUCAGCUUUGCUGCAGCUGUGGCCUAGGUCACAACUGCAGCUUGGAUCUGAUCCCUGGCCUGGGAGCUCCAUAUGCCAUG
rnacentral:lncRNA from 1 species